UACGUAGGGUGCGAGCGUUGUCCGGAAUUACUGGGCGUAAAGCGCACGUAGGCGGCUUUGUAAGUUAGAGGUGAAAGCCCAGAGCUCAACUCUGGAAUUGCCUUUAAGACUGCAUCGCUUGAACAUCGGAGAGGUAAGUGGAAUUCCGAGUGUAGAGGUGAAAUUCGUAGAUAUUCGGAAGAACACCAGUGGCGAAGGCGACUUACUGGACGAUUGUUGACGCUGAGGUGCGAAAGCGUGGGGGAGCAAACAGG
rnacentral:rRNA from 1 species